AUCCCUUCUAGGUAUUUUGGCUAAGACCAAGUGUAGAAUCUGUUUUCAUCAGUUUAAUAUCUGGUAUAUCCUCUAUCCCAGGAAAAUAUAUUAAGUAGACUUUUGGAGCAGGGAGAUGGUCGAAAAUGAUAUACACAUGCUUAAUGUUGACCAUUUGAUCCUGCCAAUCAGAUGUUCUGCAUAAAACUGGUAAUUGGGUAACAAUU
rfam:Nomascus leucogenys chromosome 17, whole genome shotgun sequence.